GAUGGCUGAGCUUUAUUAAAGUAUUUGAUUUGCAUUCAAUUGGUGUAAGAUAAAUUCUUGCAGUCUUUC
rnacentral:tRNA from 1 species